rnacentral:rRNA from 1 species
AACGAACGCUGGCGGCAGGCCUAACACAUGCAAGUCGAGCGAAGCCUUCGGGCUUAGCGGCGGACGGGUGAGUAACGCGUGGGAACGUGCCCUUUGCUACGGAAUAGCCCCGGGAAACUGGGAGUAAUACCGUAUGUGCCCUUCGGGGGAAAGAUUUAUCGGCAGAGGAUCGGCCCGCGUUGGAUUAGGUAGUUGGUGGGGUAAUGGCCUACCAAGCCGACGAUCCAUAGCUGGUUUGAGAGGAUGAUCAGCCACACUGGGACUGAGACACGGCCCAGACUCCUACGGGAGGCAGCAGUGGGGAAUCUUAGACAAUGGGGGAAACCCUGAUCUAGCCAUGCCGCGUGAUCGAUGAAGGCCUUAGGGUUGUAAAGAUCUUUCAGUGGGGAAGAUAAUGACUGUACCCACAGAAGAAGCCCCGGCUAACUUCGUGCCAGCCGCCGCGGUAACAC